AGUGAACGCUGGCGGUAGGCCUAACACAUGCAAGUCGAACGGCAGCACAGGAGAGCUUGCUCUCUGGGUGGCGAGUGGCGGACGGGUGAGGAAUACAUCGGAAUCUACCUUUUCGUGGGGGAUAACGUAGGGAAACUUACGCUAAUACCGCAUACGACCUUCGGGUGAAAGCAGGGGACCUUCGGGCCUUGCGCGGAUAGAUGAGCCGAUGUCGGGUUAGCUAGUUGGCGGGGUAAAGGCCCACCAAGGCGACGAUCCGUAGCUGGUCUGAGAGGAUGAUCAGCCACACUGGAACUGAGACACGGUCCAGACUCCUACGGGAGGCAGCAGUGGGGAAUAUUGGACAAUGGGCGCAAGCCUGAUCCAGCCAUACCGCGUGGGUGAAGAAGGCCUUCGGGUUGUAAAGCCCUUUUGUUGGGAAAGAAGAGCAGCCAGUUAAUACCUGGUUGUUCUGACGGUACCCAAAGAAUAAGCACCGGCUAACUUCGUGCCAGCCGCCGCCGUAA
rnacentral:rRNA from 1 species